rnacentral:misc_RNA from 1 species
GGUCGGAUGACAAAGAUAUUAACCAAAGACUUGCAGCCCCAUGAAAUAAACAAUAUUGGGCAGCCUUUCGUCCUGCUAUAUCUUAUACAUCCACAUGUCACAAAUGACAAAACCCAUCUCCAGCUAUCCACAUCAAUCAACGAAUUACAUAUCUUUUCACCUCAUACAAUCGCAUCAUAUCGCAUAUUCGCAUGCAGCAAUCACCAAAGAUCAGCCACAGAGAUCGAAUACGUGCAAGCAUAUCGAAAUCC